CCACGAAGCCAGUGUUGGAACGACUUCCCCGUCUUCCAUCUCGGCACUGUCUAGGGAAGGCUGAAAUGGGUGGCAUUGAUGACGAGAGGGACAAAGAGCAGAGAGAAUGCAGGCAUGCUGUGCUUCCCUGUCACCAGGCUGGUGACCACUGUGGCAGAAAACAACACAGACCCUCCUCUCUGCCCGGGCCCCCACCCAUGCCCUCUCCUUGGAAGCCACAUGGGCGUGCUCCAGGACUUCCCGCGGAGGGGAGGCAGAGUGGGUCAGGCUGAAGUGAGAGCAUGCUGGGAAGUUUCAGGAGCAUCCAGUGCCUGGGACUCUAAGAAAAGGCAUCUCAGCCAAGGACAGCAUCACAGAAAGUGCUCUCAGCUGAGCAGGAAGCGGAAACCACAGACCAGGAUGCCCACCCAGAGGAGCCAAGGCACUCGCUGUCCAUCACAGCUCUGUCCCCUCCCUGGCCACCACCUCUCCACCUACUGCCUGGUUGUCCCUCAGAGGUGGCCUGUGGGCAGCUUUCCUAGAGGUCACCCACCUUAGGUGUGUCCACUUCGGACAACUUACCUGCCCACAGUGCCCAUCCAGCCUGGCCGCCCCAGGGCUCACCUGUGUCCCUCCUGAGCCUUCCUCCACUUCCCACCUACUGCUCUAGGACCUCUGGGGAGUGCUUAGGAAGGACCUGCCAUGCUGAUCUGCUCACAGCAUCUCAUCAGCACUUCGGAAAGAGGCAGAUCUCAAUAAAUCCUCACCUGAAGGGAAAAUGCGCACACACCUGCCUGUGGGCAUGUCUGCACGUCCACACACAUGCAUGUGUGAGCUGUGUACAUGCACCUGGGGAAGCCUUUGGGCAGGGCCCUUCUUUCCUUUGGGACGAAGGAGGUUGUUAUUUCCCUGUGUCCACAGGCACCAUUCAUGGAAGUCAGAGGACCUGGUCCAUCUGCCCUUGACCAACUGUCCACAACCAU
rnacentral:lncRNA from 1 species